rnacentral:rRNA from 1 species
ACUCACGGGAAGGAAUAUAUUAAGGGAUUUCCGGAAGUGGCCGUAAUAAAACCCCUGAAAAACAACUAAAAGAAUUGGGGGGACCCGCGCUACACUGCCCCCUCAUCGAGUUUUUUCCUUUUUCGGAAGGAUGGGAAUCUUUUGAAACUUCAUCGUGCUGGGGAUAGAGCAUUGCAACUAUUGCUCUUGAACGAGGAAUCCCUAGUAAGUACAAGUCACUAGCUUGUGCUGAUUACGUCCCUGCCCUUUGUACACACCGCCCGUCGCUACUACCGAUUGAAUGGCUUAGUGAGGCCUUCGGAUUGAAAUUCGGAGACUGGCAACAGACUCUUGGUUUUGAAAAGUUGGACAAACUUGGUCAUUUAGAGGA